rnacentral:rRNA from 1 species
GACGAACGCUGGCGGCGUGCUUAACACAUGCAAGUCGAACGGAAAGGCCCUGCUUUUGUGGGGUGCUCGAGUGGCGAACGGGUGAGUAACACGUGAGUAACCUGCCCUUGACUUUGGGAUAACUUCAGGAAACUGGGGCUAAUACCGGAUAGGAGCUCCUGCUGCAUGGUGGGGGUUGGAAAGUUUCGGCGGUGGGGGAUGGACUCGCGGCUAAUCAGCUUGUUGGUGGGGUAGUGGCUUACCAAGGCUUUGACGGGUAGCCGGCCUGAGAGGGUGUCCGGCCACAUUGGGCCUGCGAUACGGCCCAGACUGCUACGGGAGGCAGCAGUGGGGAAUCUUGCCCAGUGGGCGGAAGCCUGAUGCAGCAACGCCGCGUGCGGGAUGACGGCCUUCGGGUUGUAAACCGCUUUCGCCUGUGACGAAGCGUGAGUGACGGUACUGGGUAAAGAAGCACCGGCUAACUACGUG